GUCCACGCCCUAAACGAUGUCUACUUGCUGUUGGGGCAACCUUAGUAGCGAAGCUAACGCGAGAAGUAGACCGCCUGGGGAGUACGGUCGCAAGAUUAAAACUCAAAGGAAUUGACGGGGACCCGCACAAGCGGUGGAUGAUGUGGAUUAAUUCGAUGCAACGCGAAGAACCUUACCUGCUCUUGACAUGUGCGGAAGACUACAGAGAUGUGGUUGUGCCUUCGGGAACCGUAACACAGGUGCUGCAUGGCUGUCGU
rnacentral:rRNA from 1 species